CAGCUGCUCCUCCACCAGAGCUCUAUCAACCUUAUUCAGCUGCGACUCCACAAGAGCUCUAUGAACCCAAUCCAGUUGAAACAAACACAGACGAACGUAAGGAUGAAUACGACGAACAUGAGGAUGAAU